UUAGAUACCCGGGUAGUCCUAGCCGUAAACGAUACUCGCUAGGUGUCGGCCACGGUGCGACCGUUGUCGGUGCCGUAGGGAAGCCGUGAAGCGAGCCACCUGGGAAGUACGGCCGCAGGGCUGGAAACUUAAAGGAAUUGGCGGGGGAGCACAACAACGGGUGGAGCUUGCGGUUUAAUUGGAUUCAACGCCGGAAAUCUUACCGGGACCGACAGCAACAUGGAGGCCAAGCUGAAGACUUUGCCGGAUUAGCUG
rnacentral:rRNA from 1 species